rnacentral:rRNA from 1 species
AACGAACGCUGGCGGCGUGCCUAACGCAUGCAAGUCGAGCGCGAAAAGGGCAACCUGAGUAGAGCGGCGCACGGGUGCGUAACACGUGGGUAAUCUGCCUUAGAGUCGAGGAUAACCUUCCGAAAGGUUGGCUAAUACUCGGUAAGCUUACGGUGUCUUCGGACGCUGUGGGAAAAGUAGGCCUCUGUUUACAAGCUUACGCUCUGAGAUGAGCCCGCGGCCCAUCAGCGAGGUGGCGGUGUAACGGACCACCAAGGCAACGACGGGUAGCUGGGCUGAGAGGAGGCUCAGCCCCACGGGAGCUGAGACACGGUCCAGACUCCUACGGGAGGCAGCGGUGGGGAAUUUUCCACAAUGGGCGAAAGCCUGAUGGCGCAACGCCGCGUGUGUGAUGAAGGUGGUCGGAUCGUAAAGCACUUUCGACUGGGACGAAAAACCUUUGGCUAACAUCCAGGGGCCUGACGGUACCAGGAGAAGAAGCACCGGCUAACUCUGUGCCAGCCGCCGCAGUAACAC